rnacentral:rRNA from 1 species
UACGUAGGUGGCAAGCGUUAUCCGGAAUUAUUGGGCGUAAAGAGCUCGUAGGCGGCUUGUUGCGUCGACCGUGAAAACCCGUGGCUCAACUGCGGGCUUGCGGUCGAUACGGGCGGGCUAGAGUUCGGUAGGGGAGACUGGAAUUCCUGGUGUAGCGGUGAAAUGCGCAGAUAUCAGGAGGAACACCGGUGGCGAAGGCGGGUCUCUGGGCCGAUACUGACGCUGAGGAGCGAAAGCGUGGGGAGCGAACAGG